rnacentral:rRNA from 1 species
AACGAACGCUGGCGGCAGGCCUAACACAUGCAAGUCGAGCGAGGACUUCGGUUCUAGCGGCGGACGGGUGAGUAACGCGUGGGAAUGUGCCCUUCUCUACGGAAUAGCCCUGGGAAACUGGGAGUAAUACCGUAUACGCCCUAUUGGGGAAAGAUUUAUCGGAGAAGGAUCAGCCCGCGUUGGAUUAGGUAGUUGGUGGGGUAAUGGCCUACCAAGCCGACGAUCCAUAGCUGGUUUGAGAGGAUGAUCAGCCACACUGGGACUGAGACACGGCCCAGACCCCUACGGGAGGCAGGAGGGGGGAAGCUAAGACAAGGGGGGAAACCCUGAUCUAGCCAUGCCGGGGGGGUGAUGAAGGCCUUAGGGUUGAAAAGCUCUUUCAGCGGGGAAGAUAAUGACGGUACCAGAAAAAAAAGCCCCGCCUACCUCCGG